rnacentral:rRNA from 1 species
UACGUAGGGGGCAAGCGUUGUCCGGAUUUACUGGGCGUAAAGCGCGCGUAAGCGGAGCGUUCAGCGUGGCCUGAAAGCCCCCGGCUCGAACCGGGGAAGGUGGCUGCGUACUGGCGCUCUUGAGGACGGCAGAGGAGUGCGGAAUUCCUGGUGUAGCGGUGAAAUGCGUAGAUAUCUGGAGGAACACCGGUGGCGAAGGGCGGCAUCCUGGACCAAUAUUGACGCUGAGGAGCGAAAGCUAGGGGAGCAA